rnacentral:rRNA from 1 species
AGUGAACGCUGGCGGUAGUCCUAACACAUGCAAGUCGAACGGCAGCACAGUAAGAGCUUGCUCUUACGGGUGGCGAGUGGCGGACGGGUGAGGAAUACAUCGGAAUCUACUUUUUCGUGGGGGAUAACGUAGGGAAACUUACGCUAAUACCGCAUACGACCUACGGGUGAAAGCAGGGGAUCUUCGGACCUUGCGCGAUUGAAUGAGCCGAUGUCGGAUUAGCUAGUUGGCGGGGUAAAGGCCCACCAAGGCGACGAUCCGUAGCUGGUCUGAGAGGAUGAUCAGCCACACUGGAACUGAGACACGGUCCAGACUCCUACGGGAGGCAGCAGGGGGGAAUAUUGGACAAUGGGCGCAAGCCUGAUCCAGCCAUACCGCGUGGGUGAAGAAGGCCUUCGGGUUGUAAAGCCCUUUUGUUGGGAAAGAAAAGCAGCAGGUUAAUACCCCGCUGUUCUGACGGUACCCAAAGAAUAAGCACCGGCUAACUUCGU